UACGAAGGGUGCAAGCGUUACUCGGAAUUACUGGGCGUAAAGCGUGUGUAGGCGGAUCGUUAAGUACCUUGUGAAAUCCCACGGCUCAACCGUGGAACGGCUGGGUAUACUGGCGGUCUUGAGCCACCUAGGGGCGAGCGGAACAAACGGUGGAGCGGUGAAAUGCGUAGAUAUCGUUUGGAACGCCGAUGGUGAAGACAGCUCGCUGGGGGUGCGCUGACGCUGAGACACGAAAGCCAGGGGAGCGAACGGG
rnacentral:rRNA from 1 species